rnacentral:rRNA from 1 species
AUGAUGAGCUUCAAGAACCACCACGAGGGAUUUGCGGGGCAGCAGCUGCUCGCCGCCGCCGCCGCCGCCGCGAGCCAGGCCUCCGGAGGGGCGCCGCUGCCCUGGUGGGUUGGGUCCCAGCUGCUGUACGGCGAGCCGAUGGGCCACGGGAAGGCGCCGCCGGCCGUGCCCAUGUCCAUGUCGCCGCCGGAGGAUGCCUGCCGGGACGGCCAGUUCCAGGUCGUGCCGAGGGCCCAGGCGCUGCUGGACGCCGUGCCGCUGCCGCAGCCGCCGAUGGGGGAGAGGGGCAUCCCUGAAGCUCUGAAGUUCUCCAUGGCUCAUGGUAAAGGAGGGAACAGUUCUGAGCACUCUGCCCCGAUCACUCUGCAGUCACCAUUCACAGAAUAUAAUGACCACUUUGAGCUGGGCCUUGGCCAAUCCGUGAUUUCCUCCAACUACUACUCUGAUCAGCAAUAUGGCCUACUUUCUUCUUAUGGAAUGAGAUCAGCGUCUAGCGGGCGUAUGCUUAUACCACUGAACAUGCCUGCUGAUGCGCCGAUUUAUGUGAAUGCAAAGCAAUAUGAAGGCAUCCUUCGUCGCCGUCGUGCUCGUGCCAAGGCAGAGAAGGAGAAUAGGCUGGUCAAGGCCAGAAAGCCAUAUCUUCACGAGUCACGCCAUCUUCAUGCAAUGCGCCGUGCGAGAGGCUCCGGUGGACGCUUCCUCAACACUAAGAAAGAGACCAAUGGAAAAGACACUGGUGUUGGGAGCAAGGCGAUGGUUGGUAACCCGCUUAUGCGGUCAGCUGCAUCUCUCAGUUCAGAGAUCCAGCACUCUGAGCAGGGAAACCCAAGCAGUGUCUCCAGCCUGUCUGGCUCAGAGGUGACAAGCUUGUAUGAUCACGAAGAUGUGGACCACUACCACAACUUUGAGCACCUCCGGACACACUUCUUCACCCCGCUCCCGAGCAUCAUGGACGGUGAGCAUGGGGCCGGCAACCCCUUCAAGUGGGCAGCAGCCUCCGAUGGCUGCUGCAACCUCCUCAAAGCAUGA